GACUGGAAAACAAAAGAGAGCGAGAGAGAGGCAAAUGUCACAAUUCAACCUCUAAUGGCUCGAUUGGACUUUGAACACUUCCAAGCGUCGUUGCUAUUCUUCGAGGGCUGACAAGAGACAGGUGGCGUGGUUGUUUUGUUGUUGACUAGAGUCCAGAUCUCGGCGAGAAUCCACAGGUUCCUCGCCUUUUCCCCCUCGCCGGUCUCGUCGGCUGUUUGCUUUUGGGACAACGUCGACCGGAUGAGCGCGUCAGGGGAGCACAUUUAAAGCCAUUAUGUCGCCGAGAAGAGGGGAAUGAUGAAGUUCGAGUUAGUCCAUGUGUAUGGCGUCUAGAACGCAUAGAAAAACAAACAAAAAAAGUCACAGCCUGGCUUCCAAAUCACGUUUCGAAGCUCUAUAUUUUUCGACUUCCUGUCAUCAAGUAGAAGAUUGUGGGUGUCAGCCUCGAGGACGGGCGUGAACCGAGGCGCUGUCCUCGGUCCUGAAGCCCCCCGCCUCCCAGUGGGACUCUCAACUCCUGACCUCAUUGAGUGUGCGAGAGUGACUUUCUCCUCCCCAAGAAGUCAACCUCCAGCAGCAGCUACCGAAAGAGCGAAAUAUGCACACCCCAACCAGACUUCAUCGACAAACUGUGGUCCUUUUGGCUUGUUUGGCGCACCUGAGCCAGCCAGUAUGCGUGGACGUUCCCUCGGGGACGGAGGCGGUUCUGGGAAAGAUGAUGAAGUUGACGUGUAUCUCUUGUAUGAAACGUGAGGAAGUGAAAGCCAAGACGCAUGUGGACUGGUACUACAUGACCAAGGUGGAACAAGGCGUCACACCUGACAAAACCCUUAUAUACAAGUACGAGGGUGAUUUACCUAUGGAGGUGGAUGGACCAUUCAAGGGCCGCCUGGUGUGGAACGGUAGCCAGGACCUGCAAGACCUCUCCAUCAGCAUCGUGAACGUCACCUACAAUGACAGCGGCGUCUACGAGUGCCGUGUGCUUCGCGAGUUUGAGUUUGACUCCUUCACUCCGUCAGCUUACAUCUUGAAGAACAUCACACUGAAGGUGAUAGAGGAAGUCAGCCCGGACACCACAGCCCUCUACUCGAAGAUCAUGAUGUACUUGCUGCUGGUCUUCUUGACCUUCUGGCUGUUGGUAGAGAUGGUUUACUGCUACCGCAAGAUCUCCAAGUCUGACGAGCUGGUCCAGGACACAGGAUACUGAAGAACCAUGAUGGACGAUAAAGAUCAACCAACCGAACGGCCCAACAACCCCCCUGCCCCCCAGUCCCACCCGUUUUCCUGUGGAGAGCCAAAAAUAUAACGGGGAAAAGAGAAGAGGAUUGUUUGUAUUAAUGAGGAUGAAAGAGGACUGCAUUUUAUUUCCAUGGGGAGGUCUGAAAUUACAGGAGGUAUGUUCCAUUUUGAUCAAUUUGAAUCCUCAAAAUAAAAAUGACAUUAAAAAAAAAAUGUUCUUUAUUAUAUUUGUAUAAUUUCAUCAAUGCAACGAAACACAACACAUCGAUAAUGGAAGUUAAACUUAAAACACCAUCGUACAGCAGAGUAGUCAUGUGGAGCGCCAUUCUCUCUAGGAUGCGUUGCAGGAAAAAUAAACAUUUUAUCAUGAAUGUUCAUUAUGUCAUUUGGAUAGUCGGCUAAUAUAGACACUCACAGCAUGUGUUGCAUUCAU